rnacentral:rRNA from 1 species
AACUCUAAGCGGUGGAUCACUCGGCUCGUGAGUCGAUGAAGAGCGCAGCCAGCUUGAACAUCGAUAUCUUGAACGCACAUUGCGGCCUCGGGCAAUCCCGAGGCCACGCCUGUCUCAGGGUCG